CCUACGGGAGGCAGCAGUGAGGAAUAUUGGUCAAUGGGCGAGAGCCUGAACCAGCCAAGUCGCGUGAGGGAGUACUGCCCUAUGGGUUGUAAACCUCUUUUGUCGGGGAGCAAAAGCCGGACGUGUCCGGCUGUGAGAGUUCUCGAAGAAAAAGCAUCGGCUAACUCCGUGCCAGCAGCCGCGGUAAUACGGAGGAUGCGAGCGUUAUCCGGAUUUAUUGGGUUAAAAGGGUGCGCAGGCGGAUUUUUAAGUCAGCGGUAAAAUCGUGGGGCUCAACCCCAUCCAGCCGUUGAAACUGGGGAUCUAGAGUGCGCGAGAGGUAGGCGGAAUGCGUGGUGUAGCGGUGAAAUGCAUAGAUAUCACGCAGAACCCCGAUUGCGAAGGCAGCAUACCGGUGCACAACUGACGCUCAGGCACGAAAGCGUGGGUAUCGAACAGGAUUAGAUACCCCGGUAGUC
rnacentral:rRNA from 1 species